rnacentral:lncRNA from 1 species
CCUUUUGUAACUCACUUUCCAUGGAAGAACUACCAAGAUUCAACUUCAUACACAUAAAUAAAAAAAUGUUAAUUUCAUAUUAGAGAAAAUAUUUAUAUAAAUACCUGCAUUAAAAGCAAACUUUGGUUAAAUGUUGAACAAAAAUGCAUAUGAAAAACAACCUCCUUAUCUUCUUUAGCUCCAUUUGCGCAAGCUUCAUUCCAAAAAAAAAUGAAAAGUUAAAUUUGCAAGGUUUAAAAUGACAAAGGAAAGAAGAAUGAAUGAAAGGGAGAGAAAGAAACCUUACCUAGUAUUUGCAGAUUUUUUUCUUCCAAAGAUAGAAUGAAUGGUUAGGUAAAUAUACGAUGAAAAUGGUAAAAUAAAAUCAUCUCUUUGGACUGCCUUUUUGCACCAUAGCUUCUAAUGUUGAUGGGAAGCCACAACAACAUUUAAUCAAACACAUGGUGUGCAUAUAGAAAAUGAAAGUGAUGAGUAAAACAAAUAAACAAAACAGAAAAAUAAAAUAAAUAAACAACAACAACAACAACAACUAAAUUCAGCUUUAAUAACCCUUUUCUAAAUUCUGAUUCAAAAAUUGAAAAAUAACAAAGAAAGAAAAAUCAAAUACCUGGAAGGAAGAAUAAUGAAGAUGAUUGUAGAGAAAAUCAAAUACCCAUGUAGUUCUUCUUCUUCUUUGAUGGAUCUUCUUCUUUCUCUCAUGUAGAACAAAACUUUGAUUUCUUCAACAAAAAUCAUAGAACAACUAAUAACAAAUCAGAAAAAAAAUGAAGCAAAUAUCAGAGAACAACUAAUACAACAACCACGAAAAAAAAUCAAGAAAUACUCGUCCAUACGAAAUUUUGAAAACGUACCCGUUGAUAAUUUACAACCAAAGAACACAAUUUACAAAAAACAUUUUAUCAAACACAUGGUGUGCUUGUAUGAAACUGAAACAAACAACAUCAAAUUGUAACAGGUAAUUAAAUUCCAACACAGCAAUAAACAAAGAAGAAGAUUUAUGUUUACGGAGGAAAUCACUACCUUGUGUAGGUGUUGUUAUCCGGUGGAUCUUCUUUCUCCUUCUCCCGUCGUUUCUUUCUCGAAUUUCUUUCUCUAUC